CUCGGGGAAGCAACAAGGGAGGAAGAUCUUGCUCUCUACUCAGCACACAAAGUAUUUCUUCCCGGCCAAAAUACUCAGAAUUUGCAGCAAAGAAAAACAAGAAAAAUACAGGCUCUUAUGCGAUACAACUGAGAGAGAGAGAUGUUGAAUGAACUACAGCUUCUGUUAUCUUCAGACGGGAGAGGGGAGACUUUUAUACUGCUGUCCAGGUGGCAUCAAGACAGCCAUCAGAUUAGUUCAAGCAAUCCAACGGUUAGAAGAAGCGCAAGUCAAAAAGGGCUACGUAUAAGAUAAGUGGUUUUUAACUCUUCUAUAUUCUGUUCGGCAUCCGGGAGGAGGAGGAUAAGCUCUCU